rnacentral:rRNA from 1 species
UACGUAGGCAGCAAGCGUUGUUCGGAAUUACUGGGCGUAAAGAGUGUGUAGGCGGUGUUCUAAGUUUGUCGUGAAAUCUCCCGGCUCAACUGGGAGGGUGCGCCGAAUACUGAAUGACUAGAGUGCGGGAGAGGAUAGUGGAAUUCCUGGUGUAGCGGUGAAAUGCGUAGAUAUCAGGAGGAACACCGGUGGUGUAGACGGCUAUCUGGACCGUAACUGACGCUGAGGCACGAAAGCGUGGGUAGCAAACAGG